rnacentral:rRNA from 1 species
AUGUGAAUCCCUCUCCACUAACAGGCCAACCUAUUACAAUAGGAGAAUUAAUGCUAGAAUGAGUAACCUGGGUCCUCCCUCUACGACGCAAGCUUACAUCUGUACAUUAUUAACAAAAACCCAAUAUACGAAAAAUCCAACAAGCAGAGUAUUAAAUGUAUUGUUAACCCGACAAAGGAGCGUCCGUUAAGAAAGAUUAAAACCUGUGAAAGGAACUCGGCAAACCCGUCAAGGCCCGACUGUUUACCAAAAACAUAGCCUUCAGCAAACCAAAAGACAAGUAUUGAAGGUGAUGCCUGCCCGGUGACUCGACGUUCAACGGCCGCGGUAUCCUGACCGUGCAAAGGUAGCGCAAUCAAUUGUCCCGUAAAUCGGGACACGUAUGAAUGGCUAAACGAGGUCUUAACUGUCUCUCACAGGCAAUCGGUGAAAUUGAUCUCCCUGUGCGAAAGCAGGGAUAACCCCAUAAGACGAGAAGACCCUGUGGAACUUUAAAAACAGCAACCACCCCAAUAUACAUCCACACCCAAAGCACUGGUUUGCAUUUUUUCGGUUGGGGCAACCUUGGAGCAAAACAGAACCUCCAAAAACUGGACCAUCCCUCCAGACUAAGAGCGACUACUCGAAGUGCGAAAAGUACCCAGAUCCAAUAUAAUUGAUCAAUGGACCAAGCUACCCCAGGGAUAACAGCGCAAUCUCCUCCAAGAGUCCAUAUCGACGGGGAGGUUUACGACCUCGAUGUUGGAUCAGGACAUCCUAGCGGUGCAGCAGCUGCUAAGGGUUCGUUUGUUCAACGAUUAACAGUCCUACGUGAUCUGAGUUCAGACCGGAGUAAUCCAGGUCGGUUUCCAUCUAUGAAGAACUCUUCCCCGUACGAAAGGAUCGGAAAAGUGAGGCCAAUACCACAGGCAAGCCUUCGCCUUAAAGUAUGAAGCCAACUCAAUUACAA